GACGAACGCUGGCGGCGUGCUUAACACAUGCAAGUCGAACGGAAGGCCCUGCUUGCAGGGUACUCGAGUGGCGAACGGGUGAGUAACACGUGGGUGAUCUGCCCUGCACUUCGGGAUAAGCCUGGGAAACUGGGUCUAAUACCGGAUAGGAGCCAUUUUUAGUGUGAUGGUUGGAAAGUUUUUUCGGUGUAGGAUGAGCUCGCGGCCUAUCAGCUUGUUGGUGGGGUAAUGGCCUACCAAGGCGGCGACGGGUAGCCGGCCUGAGAGGGUGGACGGCCACAUUGGGACUGAGAUACGGCCCAGACUCCUACGGGAGGCAGCAGUGGGGAAUAUUGCACAAUGGGCGCAAGCCUGAUGCAGCGACGCCGCGGGGGGGAUGACGGCCUUCGGGUUGUAAACUCCUUUCGCUAGGGACGAAGCUUUUUGUGACGGUACCUAGAUAAGAAGCACCGGCUAACUACGUG
rnacentral:rRNA from 1 species